UACGUAGGGGGCUAGCGUUGUUCGGAAUUACUGGGCGUAAAGCGCACGUAGGCGGACUACUAAGUCAGGGGUGAAAUCCCGGGGCUCAACCCCGGAACUGCCUUUGAUACUGAUAGUCUCGAGUCCGGAAGAGGUGAGUGGAAUUCCGAGUGUAGAGGUGAAAUUCGUAGAUAUUCGGAGGAACACCAGUGGCGAAGGCGGCUCACUGGUCCGGUACUGACGCUGAGGUGCGAAAGCGUGGGGAGCAAACAGG
rnacentral:rRNA from 1 species